UGGGGAAUAUUGGGCAAUGGGCGCAAGCCUGACCCAGCCAUGCCGCGUGAGUGAUGAAGGCCUUCGGGUCGUAAAGCUCUGUGGGGAGGGAAGAACAAGGCUGUGGCUAACAUCCACGGCCCCUGACGGUACCUCCUUAGCAAGCACCGGCUAACUCCGUGCCAGCAGCCGCGGUAAUACGGAGGGUGCAAACGUUGCUCGGAAUUAUUGGGCGUAAAGCGCACGUAGGCGGCCAAUUAAGUCGGGUGUGAAAGCCCAGGGCUCAACCCUGGAAGUGCACUCGAAACUGAUUGGCUUGAGUAUGGAAGAGGGUUGCGGAAUUCCCGGUGUAGAGGUGAAAUUCGUAGAUAUCGGGAGGAACACCAGUGGCGAAGGCGGCAACCUGGGCCAAUACUGACGCUGAGGUGCGAAAGCGUGGGGAGCAAACA
rnacentral:rRNA from 1 species